UACGGGGGGGCAAGCGUUGUUCGGAAUUAAUGGGCGUAAAGGGCUCGUAGGUGGCCAACUAAGUCAGACGUGAAAUCCCUCAGCUUAACUGGGGAACUGCGUCUGAUACUGGAUGGCUUGAGUUUGGGAGAGGGAUGCGGAAUUCCAGGUGUAGCGGUGAAAUGCGUAGAUAUCUGGAGGAACACCGGUGGCGAAGGCGGCAUCCUGGACCAACACUGACACUGAGGAGCGAAAGCCAGGGGAGCAAACGGG
rnacentral:rRNA from 1 species